rnacentral:rRNA from 1 species
AGCCUACCAUGGUGGUAACGGGUAACGGGGUGUUAGGGCACGACACCGGAGAGGGAGCCUGAGAAACGGCUACCACAUCCAAGGAUGGCAGCAGGCGCGCAAAUUACCCAAUCCCGACACGGGGAGGUAGUGACAAUAAAUAACAAUACGGGGUUCUUUAGGAUCUCGUAAUUGGAAUGAGUACAAUUUAAAUCUCUUAACGAGGAACAAUUGGAGGGCAAGUCUGGUGCCAGCAGCCGCGGUAAUUCCAGCUCCAAUAGCGUAUAUUAAAGUUGCUGCAGUUAAAAAGCUCGUAGUUGAAUUUCGGGACCAAUAUGUCGGUCGUGCCUCGGUACGUACUGGCAUCGUUGGUUUCUCCCUUCUGACGAACCAUGAUGCCAUUUAUUUGGUGUCGUGGGGAAUCAGGACUGUUACUUUGAAAAAAUUAGAGUGUUUAAAGCAGGCUCACGCUUGAAUACAUUAGCAUGGAAUAAUGAAAUAGGACGUUUGAUUCUAUUUUGUUGGUUUCUAGGAUCGACGUAAUGAUUAAUAGGGAUAGUUGGGGGCAUUAGUAUUCAAUUGUCAGAGGUGAAAUUCUUGGAUUUAUUGAAGACUAACUACUGCGAAAGCAUUUGCCAAGGAUGUUUUCAUUAAUCAAGAACGAAAGUUAGGGGAUCGAAGACGAUCAGAUACCGUCGUAGUCUUAACCAUAAACUAUGCCGACUAGGGAUCGGAUGAUGUUAAUUUUUUAAUGACUCAUUCGGCGCCUUACG